rnacentral:rRNA from 1 species
UAGUUUGGUAUUAUUUAGUUAAUGCAAGAUCGACUACGUCGACUAAAGUUCUAGGUAGAAUAAUGAUGAUGACAAUUUUUUACCUAUAUGUCUUGACCAAGUCUCGUGCCAGCAGUCGCGGUAAUACGUGGAAGACUAGUGUUAUUCAUCUUUAUUAGGUUUAAAGGGUACCUAGACGGUAUUUCUAGCCCAAAGUAGGGUACGGAUUUACUAGAGUUUUAUGUGAGGAGGGGAGUACUCGUAGAGUAGAGAUGAAAUUUUGUUAUACUAUGAGGUAACUGGUGGCGGCGAAAGCAACCUUCUAUGUAUAAACUGACGUUGAGGGACGAAGGCUUGGGUAGCAAAUAGGAUUAGAUACCCUAGUAGUCCAAGCAGACAAUUCUGAAUGCCAUAGAUUAGAUUAUUUUUGAUCUAUAAAUGAAAGUGUAAGCAUUCCACCUUAGGAGUAAUGUGGCAACACAGGAACUGAAAUCAUUAGACCGUUUCUGAAACCAGUAGUGAAGUAUGUUAUUUAAAUUGAUGGUCCACAAAAAACCUUACCACAACUUGAAUAUUUUUUAAUUAAUACAAGCGUUGCACGGCUGUCUUCAGUUAAUGUCGUGAGAUUUUGGUUAACUCCAUUAAUUAACGUAAACCCUUA